AUGGGGUUUGUGUGGCUCUUUAACCAGAGUGGACCAUCUUCAGGGUCACGGCGAGAAGCGAGAAGUGAUUAACAUCUACUAGUAUCAGAUGAGCGAUGGGACAAAGAGAGAGGACGACACCUUGUCUGGUGUCUCAGAAUUAAUCACACUCUGCUUGGAGUUGACACACAAGUCUAUUGCAGCAAAGGAGGAGGAAUAUGAACCUGUAAGAGGAGGCUUGCUGACAGUGAGUGUCACACUGCGGCUUCUGACAUUAAACCUAAAAAAAAGGAUAAAGACAUUCCCCGUCUUGUCGCUCCUUCCCUGGAAAUAAAAGGCUGGGAUGAACAGAAGCAGGUUGGAGGGGUGGGGGAAAAAUGAUGAAUCAUCAGGCAGUCGUCUUUUAUCAGCAACUCAAAUCAGCAGGUGGGAGGAAGAGAGGAAAUAAUAAGAUGUGUGCAAAGCGAAAGCACUGAACAUGGACCAGUGAACACGCAGAUUUGAUUCUUUAAUCGAUUUACUUAUUGAUUCCUGAGGGAAACAUGAACAUGCUGUCAAUACAGAGUGAAUAGAAAGUAGCCGUCUGAAGUGAGAGAAUUGUGAAGAGCAACUCGUUGAUUUUGGUCUUUCGGCACUUUCACCAGAUGGUCACCAACAGCAGCACCUCCCUCCACAGGUGGCGGUACUUUCCCCUCCACUCAUCUCCUCAACCCUGUGAUCACACAACAUCUGGUUCCACGGUUCAUCGUACUCUUGCCUCUCUCUAAUAAAACUGUGGCUCCAACCCUGAGGUCAUUUCCUUCAUUUGCAAUA